AAAAUUUAAAAAAAUCCAAAAAUAAAAUGUCAGUUUAUUUUAAUCUGCCAGAUUUUAAAAAUUAACUUGUCAAAAAACCAAAAUUUAUCGUUUUCAAAUUAUUUAGUGAUUCCUUUUGAUAUAAAAGGUUGACAAAGAAAGAGAAAACGGACUAAAAUGAGUCAAAAGAAGAAUUUGAGAAAUUUAAAAGUCACAAAAGACUUCCGAAAUGAUAACGCCGGCAUCAUUUACACCAUCAUGCCUCCGGAUGACACCAAAAGCGAUGAUGAGAGCUUGGUGGAAGAGCCAAGGUUUGCGCCAAUUAGAGACCCGGUUCAUCCGUAUAAUCGCGAGAUAAGAAGAAAACCACCAAAACCACCACUGCCAAAACUUAAAUUUGAAGGAAGUUUUAUUAACCCCACGUUAAGCACUCGCGUUGAGUAUAAAAAACAUUACCAUCCGGUGUUAACUCCCGAGCAAAUGAAGUAUGUUAUGCCGGAACCGAAACGACUUAAGAGGAAGAAGGCGGAAGAGAGACAGCGACAACGGGAAGUUUACACGAAAUGCGAAUAUUCGAUUUUAAGGCUUCCAAGUCCGGUUAAUUUAAUGAAUUUGAGUUUGCUUGAAAUGCAAUCUCCGGAACUAAGUAAAGCGAGAGUAAUGCCAUCAAAACCUUCAGUUCAAUCGGGAUAUCUUUACCCCGACCCCCCCACCAAAGACGAAUUAGACUUACACAAACCAAAAAGCGGGAUUUACGUGAAUGUUCGUAAAGAUGUUCUUGAUAGUGACGCUGCUUUAUUAGCUGAAGGAGAUCAGACUCGUCCAAAAAAGAAAAAACCGAAGACUCUUCCUGAAGGCGAAGCCGUUGACGAACCUUUCGAAUGGGAAGAUUGGGGCGAAGAUUAUUUAUACGAAGGAGAAGCUGAGGGUCCGUUCCAAUUAGACAAAUCGACAGCAAUCGAUGAGGAUCGCCCGUUAAGGAUGAUUCGAAGAGUCGUCGAUCAAACCUCAGCAACAACAUCCUUAGACGAGAAAGAUUUCGUCUUCGAGGACACCAGUUGGGAGAAAAUCCCCGUUAUCAGCCAAUUAGUCCAAACGUUUCGCGCCCAAGACGAAGAGAAAAAGCGAAAAAAGCGCAAAUUUAAAAAGGGAACUUUAGAAUCGCAUUCUUACACGAAAUUAAAACAACAAACAAUUUGCGAGUUAUGCGCCAAAGUUGUUCAGGGGAGUAUUCAUCAAGGCGAUGAGAAUUUUUCGAGUUUCAGUCGAGACAAACAAGGGAUUUGCGUCCCGAUUGCGGCGAUGUGUUACGCGAAAUUAAGAGGAUUAAAGAAUCCUUUAGAUUGGACCGAAAAGCACAUUGAUGAUAUCAUCGAGUACGCGGAUGCUUUGUAUAUCGACUCGAUAAGUGGGAAUCAUUUGCAUAAAGGGGGCGAAUUACUCCCAGAGGAUGUCCAAAAGUUUUGCCAAAUUCAAGAUAUGAAGGUGAAAUUUACAAUUGAUGAUCCAGAUGUUAAUGGGCACAUCCGCUCAACGGAAAAAAGGAUUUAUAACAUUACGAAGGGUCUUUCGAUUUUUUUUAAUCGCCAUAAACGAGGUUUGUUACAAACGGAUUUGAUGGAUUUGGGGAUUUGGAAGAAAAGGAAAUAUUUUUAUAUAAUCGAUGGGCAUCCGCGAAGAAAAGAUUGCUACACCGAUCCGAACGGAAAAGCUGCAUUAAUUAUUUUAGAAAAUCUCAAAUCGGUUGUCUCAGUUCUCCUCGAUCGAACUAAUUUGGAGAAUUCCCCGUUUUUGUUAUCAAAAAUAACGAUAACUAAAAUUAUGUGCCAAGAUGACGAAGAAAUCGAAUGCGACGUUAAAGGAACUUACAACAUUUUAAGCGACAAAAAAGCGGUGCUUAUGGGAACUUUUAAUUUAACAGAUAAAUGUUUUUGUUUCACCCGAAAUAAACAAGCUCUCCCCAUGGCGAUUUCAUGCUUAGUUUACGCAAGAAUUAGCCAACCAAGUAGUUGGAAGCGCAAAACAAUCGAUAAAAUCAUGGUAAUAGGGAACCAAUUAUACAUCGAAUGCGCCGAAUCCGAAAAAGUAAUCGACCAAGAAUUAUCCAUAGACAACAUCCCAGCUUUAUUCACAGUCGGUCCUUACAUAACAGAAAUAUUCAUUUACGCAAACUACAUCAUCGAUAAUUUAUACAAAAAAGGAGUUUGCACAUUAAAACGAGUUUUAGAAAUAUUCUUCGAUAAAAACACAAGCGCAAUCAUCCAAAUUGGACCAUACACGAUAGCCUGUUGGUUUCAACGCAACAUGUUUUAUUAUUUCGAUCCGUAUUCAAGAAAUACGGAAGGUUUUAAAUGCCGAAAUGGAGCGGCGUGCGUUUCGAUGAAUUGCGACGUAAACACAUUAAUCGAAACUUUAACCGCAAAUUUCGACGAUAAAGAAGCGAUUUUUUACGUGCACGCCUUAAAAGUGAUCAAAAUCAAUCGAGACCCAACGAUGCGGAAAAUAUUCCCGAAAAAAAUGAGCAUGAAACAGAUCCCUUUGGAUCUAUUAAAAAACGUUCGGUGUCGAAAAAGUAAAAAGAAAGCGAUCGAGAAACCGAUUAAAAUCGAUUUUACCGAGUACGCGAUGAAGAAAUUAUUGGCCGGGGAUGAACCGGGUGCUUCCGUUACCGAUAUUGCCUCGAAUAUCGGGAGUUUGCAAGAUGAGUAUUUGCCGCCGUUUAUGGAGAAGCCUCCGCCUAAAGAAAUCAUUUUAACGGAGCGGGAAGAAAGGAAUAUCGCCGAUUUGGACUCGCCGACUCUAUCGGAGACGCAAUUUGCCGUUGAGCGACCGCAAACGAUGGGGUUGAGCGAAUUGUUGACUUUAAUGGAUUUGGAUGCGUUGGAAAUGACUCAAGAAGAGUUGGAACAAAUUGUUGUUGAAGAGGAGCAAGAGUAUGAGGAUCAAGGAAUGUUGGGAAUUGGUGAAGGGGAAGGUUUACCCGAAGAAGAGGAAGAUUUCUACAUGGUAAAAUCGAAGUACACCUCAGUUAACUCAUCAUCCCUCGAAAGUUUACAUCUAAGACAAUCGGAAGUUAUCAACACGGACGUUUCAUAUUGUUACAAUAUCUUACCAGCGGAUGAGCUCCCAUUAAGAACGAAAAAAGACGUCGAUCACGUCAUAUUAAUCGACGAGGAAAUCCAAGCUAUGGAAUUAAAACGAGAAACGCAUUUCAAAACGGUUCAAGACGACGAAUUAGAUUUUGAGGUGCAAAUCAUAUUCGGCGAAAAGAAUAUGUUGGAAUACUUAGUUCCGAUCGUAAAAACAGCCUACGAACAAGCCACUAUGAAGGAUGUGACAUCCGUUUUAACAUCAACAGGGAAAAGUGCUUCAUUUCAGGCAUCAUCCCUCGUUAGUUCAAAAAACAUCGAGCCGAAUAUAUUCGAAAAUUUCGAAAUAUCAUCGCUUUUCGAUUCCCAGGAGAAUUUAAAAGAAGUCGACCCCGAUUUAAAGUUUGAAUUGAACCAAAACGUGAAUUUAUUGGCACCUUAUGUUUGUAUUAUGGCAGUGGCUUAUUCAAACGAGUGCCCUUUGUAUAAAUGGACCAAAAAAACGGUCGAUUUCGUUUUAAAAAACGGCGCGGAACUCUUUGAUUCAUUCCAAGUGGCUUACGACCGCGUGGAAGAUUUUCAUUUAGAGUUUAGUCGAUAUAAAAUCGAUAUGACUUUAGAAAACUUGUUGGAUACUUACGUUGGGACAAAAAUCAUCGAAACCGAUUUUAGCGAGAAAGCUUUGAGGGAUUUAUUAGAAAAUUAUCUUUUUAAUAAAUCAAUAUCGGGAAUUUUAGUUACCAAGCAGUAUUCGUGCGUAAUUUUCUUCAAAAAACACAUGUUGUAUUUGUUUGAAGUCUUUGGGGUUUGCAAACAUGGUAAAGUUGAUCAACAAGGGUUUAAAGGACCGGCUGCUUUGAUGCGAUUCAAAAAUUUCGACACAUUAAUUUUAAGAAUACUACAAAAUCGAAAAUUAAGACUAUCAGAGGAAGAAAAAGAUGUUGAAUACACCAGAAUAAUCCUAUUAAAACCAAACAUCACCAAAAUCGGGGACGAACUCCAAGAAAAAGUUGCAAUUCAAAAGUAUUACGACGAAGAUGGGCUUUUAGUUGAGCCUGAAAUAACUCAAUCGAAAGAAUUGGCCAAAGCAAGCAAUUUCAUCGAUCUUCCCGAUGGUUCUCAAAUAAUCCGCGGGAGAUACGAUGUUAAACAAUAUUCCCCAGACGCCGAUCUUUUAGCGCCUUAUAUCUGCAUAAUGGCAGCCGCAGUUGCUGGGAAAUAUCAAGUUUCAACUUGGUCUCCAGAUAUCGUUGAUUACGUGUUAAGGUGCGGAUCAGAGUUACAUCAAAAAUCGAAAUAUCAAUUCUUAGAAGUCGCCAAAUUAGAAAUUCCCCGCGUCGCUUUAGGAAAAACCGAUUUCCGACUCGAAAUCGAUUACAGAUUCGAUUCCCCUUUAAAACAACGCAUUUUAGAAGUUAGCUUAGAAAAAAUCCUACAUCAAAACGGAGAUUGGGCAAUAAUCGUGAGUCAAGAAUACUCGUGUUCUUGUUAUUACAAAAACGGGCUUUUUUAUCUUUACGAUCCGUACGCUUCGAACGAAGUUGGAUUGAGCGAGGGGCCGUUUUCGAGGGGGUUGGCGAGUUUCUCGCGGUUCACCGAUUUACCUUCGUUGGCGACGAGGAUUGUUUAUAACAAACAGAAACGCGAGCAGCCCGAAAAAGUUAGUUACAGCCGAUUCGUGUUGAGUACGUGUAAGGUGCGAUAUUUGCAACCUGAACAAACGAAAGCUCCGCCUCGACGGCCGAAACGAAAAGAACCCGAAGCGAAGAAAGCUGUUGAAACUGCCGAAGAUGGCGCGGAUUUCGGCGAAGAAGAGGAAGAGGAAGUUGAGAAUAAAGUUGGUUUUCAGAAUCGUUCUGGAUACUGGGUGGUUGAAGGUACAAGAUAUCCAACAUCUCCGACCCGCGAAGACGUCUCUGAUAUUCUCAAAGCGGACCAUUUCGUUUGUAUUUGCGUCUGCUUAACCGUCAUUAGCGUCCCAAUCAAAAAAUGGGAUACAUUAAAAGUGAAUCGAGUGAUAAACCAAGGUCAACACAUUUAUUCGCACGCCGAAAAUUUGGAGCAUUCCGAGAAAAGAACGAUAAAAAACAUUCUUAUCGGCAAACAUUUCUUUGAUAUUAUCGUAAAACCGAUUGACGUCGCGAGAUGGCGCGGCCCCCACAACAUCACGACUGGUUUAAAAUUUAUUUUUACGAAACGAAAGUUUGCUUUGGUUCAAUUUCCGAAUUGUUGUGUCGUUCUUUAUAAGGAGGAUAAAAACGAUGAUGCCAUUUACAUUUUUGAUCCCUACGCUUACACUUUUACGAUCCCGAAAACAGACGAUGAAGAUGAAAAAACGAUGACUAUUCAGUGUGGGUGGACCAUGUAUACCAAGCCUAAACAAUUAAUUAAGAGGCUAAAAGAAAUCGCUCCUAAAGAUCAAGAAAAUAGCUUCGUCUUUUAUUCAUUUGAAGUGAUCUCGGUGAAAAAAGCCCCUAAAAAAGUACUUCUAACCCAUAAAGCCAUGCAAUAUAAAUUGGAACGAGCCAAACCUGCCGAAAUUAUUGGAAGGCCGUUCCAUGAACAAGAAAAUUGGUUGGAUAUGCAUAAAGCCCCAUGGAGUCGAAUCCAAGAACAAACAGCGUGUGGAAAAAUUCGAAAUUCGCGCGAUUCAAAAUGGCAUAAUUGGGAUAUCGAAUACGAAAACGACCUAUUUUCUUUAGUUGGAACUUUGCAUAUAACAUCAAGAAAAUUCAACGUGUGUAAUCGUGGAAAACAAACGUUAUGUAACUUAGUCGUCUCAAUUGCAAUGACGAAUAUCUACGAAUUAAGCGAAUGGACCGACCGAAUAUUAGACUCAGUUCUUUACAACGGCGAUUCUUAUUUCACCGAAUGCGUGAAAGACAUCCACGAACAUAAUUACGAAAUUGCCAUGGACGAUUUACUCGAAGAUUGUAGCAUUUUCCCAUACAACUUUAAAGUUGCCUACACCCCAGCGAUCGAAGGAACGAUUUUCUUAUCGUCAAAGACCAAAUUCAAUCUUUAUAAAGCGUUGAGAUAUUUCUUUGAGAAUUACGAAAGUCGCUGCGGCGUUUUAAUUUGCACGAAAGGCGCCGAAAAUCCAAAACGGAUGUGCAGUUUUGGGAAAAUCCAAGAAAGCGAAUAUUUCGUUUACGACUGCCAAGCGUUUGGACCACCCAUGUUUAUGGAGAAAGAGGGGGCUUCUUAUAUCUUAAGGAUGACAACUUUAGCCAGGUUAUUGCACUGUUUAGUUUUGACGCUAAAAGGGGGCGAUUUCUUUAUUUACGACGUUGAAACUUACGAUUUUGAAUCGAUCGAGCCGAAAAAGGAAGACGAUGACGAUAAAGUUGAUGAAGGAGGAGACGUGGAGGUGGACGCGGGAGGAGAAUAAGUUUUUUUUUUGAAGAUUUGGAAAUAAGGGGAUAUCAAAGCCGGUGGGGCCGAGUCCGCAUAGGAAGGAUGAACGAGGGUUAAAAUUCUCCAUUUCACUCACGAUGAUGCUGGCUGAUGCUUCAAAGUGGUCGAUUGCGAAGUGAGUCCGUGGGGCCCGUGGACAUCCUGCGACACUGAUUGCGGCCCUGGAACAAUGUCCA